GACGAACGCUGGCGGCGUGCCUAAUACAUGCAAGUCGAGCGAAGUUUUUCUGGUGCUUGCACUAGAAAAACUUAGCGGCGAACGGGUGAGUAACACGUAAAGAACCUGCCUCGUAGACUGGGACAACUAUUGGAAACGAUAGCUAAUACUGGAUAACAGCAUUAACUGCAUGGUUGAUGUUUGAAAGUUGGUUAUGCUAACACUAUGAGAUGGCUUUGCGGUGCAUUAGCUAGUUGGUGGGGUAAAGGCCCACCAAGGCGACGAUGCAUAGCCGACCUGAGAGGGUGAUCGGCCACACUGGGACUGAGACACGGCCCAGACUCCUACGGGAGGCAGCAGUAGGGAAUCUUCCGCAAUGGGCGAAAGCCUGACGGAGCAACGCCGCGUGAGUGAAGAAGGAUUUCGGUUCGUAAAGCUCUGUUGUUAGGGAAGAAUGGAUAUGUAGUAACUAUACAUGUACGAGACG
rnacentral:rRNA from 1 species